rnacentral:rRNA from 1 species
GACGUAGGGCGCGAGCGUUGUCCGGAUUUAUUGGGCGUAAAGAGCUCGUAGGCGGCUUGUCGCGUCGACUGUGAAAGCCCGCGGCUCAACCGCGGGUCUGCAGUCGAUACGGGCAGGCUAGAGUUCGGUAGGGGAGACUGGAAUUCCUGGUGUAGCGGUGAAAUGCGCAGAUAUCAGGAGGAACACCGAUGGCGAAGGCAGGUCUCUGGGCCACUACUGACGCUGAGAAGCGAAAGCAUGGGGAGCGAACAGG